rnacentral:rRNA from 1 species
AGAGUUUGAUCAUGGCUCAGGAUGAACGCUGGCGGCGUGCUUAACACAUGCAAGUCGAACGAUGAAAGCGGGAGCUUGCUCCUGCUGGAUUAGUGGCGAACGGGUGAGUAACACGUGAGUAACCUGCCCUUGACUCUGGGAUAAGCGUUGGAAACGACGUCUAAUACCGGAUACGACCUUCGGAGGCAUCUCCUGGGGGUGGAAAGAAUUUCGGUCAAGGAUGGACUCGCGGCCUAUCAGCUAGUUGGUGAGGUAAUGGCUCACCAAGGCGACGACGGGUAGCCGGCCUGAGAGGGUGACCGGCCACACUGGGACUGAGACACGGCCCAGACUCCUACGGGAGGCAGCAGUGGGGAAUAUUGCACAAUGGGCGCAAGCCUGAUGCAGCAACGCCGCGUGAGGGACGACGGCCUUCGGGUUGUAAACCUCUUUUAGUAGGGAAGAAGCGAAAGUGACGGUACCUGCAGAAAAAGCACCGGCUAACUACGUG